UACGUAGGGGGCCAAGCGUUUGUCCGGAUUUAUUGGGCGUAAAGAGCUCGUAGGCGGUUUGUCGCGUCGAAUGUGAAAACCCGGGGGCUCAACUCCGGGCCUGCAUUCGAUACGGGCAGACUAGAGUUCGGAAGAGGCGAGUGGAAUUCCCGGUGUAGCGGUGAAAUGCGCAGAUAUCGGGAGGAACACCAAUGGCGAAGGCAGCUCGCUGGGACGUUACUGACGCUGAGACGCGAAAGCGUGGGGAGCAAACAGG
rnacentral:rRNA from 1 species